GCUAACGCCGUGCCUGCAGCGGGGGUAAGACGUAGGGGGCAAGCGUUGUCCGGAUUUAUUGGGCGUAAAGAGCGGGUAGGCGGCCAAGCAGGUCCGCUGUGAAAACUCGAGGCUCAACCUCGAGAGGUCGGUGGAAACCGUUUGGCUAGAGUCCGGAAGAGGAGAGUGGAAUUCCCGGUGUAGCGGUGAAAUGCGCAGAUAUCGGGAAGAACACCCGUGGCGAAGGCGGCUCUCUGGGACGGUACUGACGCUGAGACGCGAAAGCGUGGGGAGCGAACAGGAUUAGAUACCCCUGUAGUC
rnacentral:rRNA from 1 species